UAAAAAUCGUGUACUACUUCCUCAUUAUAAAAAGAUAUCACAUUAUAAGUGAGCGCGCAAUUUUACCGCCAUUUUAUUGCACGGAGCUAUAACUACAGGUGAUGAUGGUUCGCGGAGCGCUUGUCAUGGUCGCCUUGGUGCUGUUGAUUGGCAUCACUGUAGUACAGUGUGUCGAUAACGAAGACGAAGACUAUCGCAAAUACAUAUCGCAUGGUGCUGAUGACAUCAUCAUGAAACCCAGUUACCUGUCAGGAAAAAGUCAUCGGCAUAAUGCAAAGAAAAAACUGGGCAUCAUAUUUCUGAAUUUCGACUGAUAACAUUGGAAAAUAACUAAUUAGAAAAGAUAUUCAUCACCACAGCAGAUAUUUCCUACUAACUGAAAAUCUCAUGUUAUAAUUCCUGCAAUAUAAAUGUUUUCAUGGA